rnacentral:rRNA from 1 species
AGAGUUUGAUCCUGGCUCAGGACGAACGCUGGCGGCAUGCCUAAUACAUGCAAGUCGAACGAGCUUCCGUUGAAUGACGUGCUUGCACUGAUCUCAACAAUGAAGCGAGUGGCGAACUGGUGAGUAACACGUGGGAAAUCUGCCCAGAAGCAGGGGAUAACACUUGGAAACAGGUGCUAAUACCGUAUAACAACAAAAUCCGCAUGGAUUUUGUUUGAAAGGUGGCUUCGGCUAUCACUUCUGGAUGAUCCCGCGGCGUAUUAGUUAGUUGGUGAGGUAAAGGCCCACCAAGACGAUGAUACGUAGCCGACCUGAGAGGGUAAUCGGCCACAUUGGGACUGAGACACGGCCCAAACUCCUACCGGAGGCAGCAGUAGGGAAUCUUCCACAAUGGACGAAAGUCUGAUGGAGCAAUGCCGCGUGAGUGAAGAAGGGUUUCGGCUCGUAAAACUCUGUUGUUAAAGAAAAACACCUUUGAGAGUAACUGUUCAGGGGUUGACGGUAUUUAACCAGAAAGCCACGGCUAAUUACGUGCCAGCAACCGCGGUAAUAC